UAACACGUAAGGGGCAAGCGUUGUUCGGAAUUAUUGGGCGUAAAGGGCGCGUAGGCGGUUUUACAAGUCUGGUGUGAAAUAUCUCAGCUUAACUGAGGGACCGCGCUGGAAACUGUAAGACUAGAAUCUAGGAGGGGAAGCUGGAAUUCCUGGUGUAGGGGUGAAAUCUGUAGAUAUCAGGAAGAACACCGGUGGCGAAGGCGAGCUUCUGGCCAUAGAUUGACGCUGAGGCGCGAAAGCGUGGGGAGCGAACAGGAUUAGAUACCCUGGUAGUCCACGCUGUAAACGAUGUGCACUAGGUGUUGGACCUUAAGGUUCAGUGCCGUAGCUAACGCGUUAAGUGCACCGCCUGGGGAGUAUGCCCGCAAGGGUG
rnacentral:rRNA from 1 species